rnacentral:rRNA from 1 species
UACGUAGGGCGCAAGCGUUGUCCGGAAUUAUUGGGCGUAAAGAGCUCGUAGGCGGCCUGUUGCGUCCGCUGUGAAAUCCCGGGGCUUAACCCCGGGCUUGCAGUGGAUACGGGCAGGCUGGAGGCAGGCAGGGGAGAACGGAAUUCCCGGUGUAGCGGUGAAAUGCGUAGAUAUCAGGAGGAACACCGGCGGUGUAGACGGCUUUCUGGACCGUAGCUGACGCUGAGACACGAAAGCGUGGGUAGCAAACAGG